rnacentral:lncRNA from 1 species
CAAGCAUUAAAUGCAACAGUUUGAGGCGAAAUUGACUUGGUUAUGUUAAUAACUAGAUGGUCAGCAAUAGAGCGCGAAAAGAAGAACGAGUAAUAGAAUAGAUGAAAAUAGUUAGAUUUUUCUUAGCUUUAGUUUGGUAGAGUUUUCCUCUGGGACUACGGCCUACGAGUCUGGAGGGGGUGGCACUUUCUUGACUCGGAUGUGAAGAGUCCAUCCUUUUUUGCUGUACGAACAGCAGUCUUGGUGGUUAGCAGCGCAAGGUAGGGUCCUUCCCAGGCUGACUGGAGUUUUUCUUCUUUCCACCUUUCGAUGAGAACGUGAUCUUCAGGCUGCUGCUGGUUUACCGGAAAUUCUAAGGGUAGUACAUGUGCUAAAAGACUUUUAGUUUUGAGGGAAAGGAAAGUGGAAGACACCGAGUUAAAGAAGGAAGAGGUUUAUCGGCCGGUAGCAUCGGCAGGACUCCUGUCUCAAGAGCCGAGCUCCCCAGCACAAUUUUCACUCCUCUUUUUAACUAAAAACUGUCUCCUGGCUUCAGUUGCAAGGGAUCUUCAUGAGUGCGACACAAAAGAGAGUGGGAGAAAAGCAUGAACUACAGCCCAGAACAGAAUGACUAAUUCCUGGAGGACGAAUUUGCAUUCAGCUUGAAGGCCAAGAGGUGGAGUUUCACUCUUCAUUGGCCAGGCUGGAGUACAAAUGGUGCAAUCUCGGCUCACCGCAACCUCUGCCUCCCAAAUUCAAGUGAUUCUCCUGCCUCAGCCUCCUGAGUAGCUGGGAUUACAGGCACGCACCAUCAUGCCUGGCUCAUUUUUGUAUUUUUAGGAAAGACAGGGUAUCACCAUGGUGGCCAGGCUGGUCUCGAAUUCCUGACCUCAGGUGAUCCACCCGCCUCAGCCUCCCAAAGUGCUAGGAUUAAAGGCAUGAGCCACUGCACCCAGCCUGUUUUCUCAAAUUUAAUUAAUGAUCUUAAAAACAGAAAUAAUAACAACAACUGUAAGUAUUUUUCAGUUGGUGUCUACUGUAUGUAGUCAUUGUGGAAAUCUCUAUACAUUAAAUAUUCUCUAAUUUGUGCAACAACUCUAUGGAAUAGAU